GACGAACGCUGGCGGCGUGCUUAACACAUGCAAGUCGAACGGAAAGGCCCUGCUUUUGUGGGGUGCUCGAGUGGCGAACGGGUGAGUAACACGUGAGUAACCUGCCCUUGACUUUGGGAUAACUUCAGGAAACUGGGGCUAAUACCGGAUAGGAGCUCCUGCUGCAUGGUGGGGGUUGGAAAGUUUCGGUGGUUGGGGAUGGACUCGCGGCUUAUCAGCUUGUUGGUGGGGUAGUGGCUUACCAAGGCUUUGACGGGUAGCCGGCCUGAGAGGGUGACCGGCGACAUUGGGACUGAGAUACGGCCCAGACGGCUACGGGAGGCAGCAGUGGGGAAUAUUGCACAAUGGGCGGAAGCCUGAUGCAGCAACGCCGCGUGCGGGAUGACGGCCUUCGGGUUGUAAACCGCUUUCGCCUGUGACGAAGCGUGAGUGACGGUAAUGGGAAAAGAAGCACCGGCUAACUACGUG
rnacentral:rRNA from 1 species